CCAUGUGGAAAUGAUGAGAACUAUGUUGGUAGGGACAUCUGAGAAAAGAUUGCUGAGCAUCAACAUCCUGAUCUGCAUGG
ensembl:snoRNA